GCAAGUCGAGCGCACCCUUCGGGGUGAGCGGCGGACGGGUCAGUAACGCGUGGGAACGUACCCUUCGGUAAGGAAUAGCCACUGGAAACGGUGAGUAAUACCUUAUACGCCCUUCGGGGGAAAGAGUUAUCGCCGGUGGAUCGGCCCGCGUUAGAUUAGAUAGUUGGUGGGGUAAUGGCCUACCAAGUCUACGAUCUAUAGCUGGUUUGAGAGGAUGAGC
rnacentral:rRNA from 1 species